rnacentral:ncRNA from 1 species
UUUUGUUGGUGUUUUGAACAAACUUAAUAGGAAAUUCCGUUAGAAUCGGAAGCACUCCCGGUGCUGUGAUAGGGAACGAAAAACUUUUUGAAACAAAGUCACUGCUUAAUUUAAGCGGGAAGAUAAAGUUUAGUAGGUUAUUACCCUUAAGCCAGAAGACCUGCCAACAGAUACA